CCUAUUUAUCACCUCGGCUGGCCGGAUCUUAUCGUACCACGCUGUACGAACCUCCCUAUCCCCACUCAAACACUCACUGUGUACUACUUCCGAGUGGAAUCGCGUUUCUACGUAAUUGUACAAAGAGCGAACUUCAUGAACGAAUGGAGGAAGGGUAAGCGAGUAUGUAUGUACUUCGCUGCUUACCUCUUCCCUUUUUCUUCAAACGUACGCCAAUCCUCUCAUCGGUUACAUAUUUGAAAAACACUUUUCCCUACUUUAUCUUCUAUCGCUUCUUCUUUUCCUUCCCAUUCGAAACGCUGUGUAUCGAAAUACUAAAACGGAAGUGGAACGAGUAUUCAUACUUGCGACAUACUCGCUGAUCCAUAGAGGAUACGGGGUGAAAGAUCGAAUCGAAUUAAAGCGCGAUCGAUUCGACCUUUGCAAUCGUAUCGAUAGCGAAUGUAUAAUUCGUUUACGAUCGCGAUGAUACAAACGCGAUGCGUAUCGAUCCAUGUUCGAAGAUGAUGGAUACCGGCGAAGCUGCGAGAACAAAGAAAAAUGGAAGAGAAAAGAAAGAGAAAAAGAGGAGGAGUGCUCAUUGAAAAGUUGGAGGGUGGUAGUGGCGCGUGGCGCGAUCGCGGGUACGCAUGCGUGUACGCAGAGCUAGACGCAAUACAUAGUAGAUAUGCACGUGCACGACGUAACGCGUGUGAGCGAAGCUGUUCUCACGCGGCGACACGCGGCCACCAUCUCCCCAAUGCGCGUCGCCACGUGCCACCUCGAUGCACCCACGGAAAACUCAUAAUUGUCAUAACAUUCGAGCUGUGCUCGCUCGAAGGAACGCCAAUACCGGCUACUCGAUCUACGAAAGUCGUGUCGCAUCUUCGGGAUAUCAUUUUCGUCCUUCAUAAGGACAAGUUAAACGAUCCUAAAGUGGCGUCAUACGGACGACGUCACAAUGCACCAUUCCAAUUGCAUCGAUGACGUCAAACAAAACUACUUGCAUCUUGAAUUGUCCUGAAACUAGUUCGCUAUGCUGUAUAUCUACCAUACCAUAUGUACAUAAAUAUAUGUAGGAAGCAUGUACGAAAUUCGAUAUAAGUAACAACGUGAUAAAAUAAAAGAGAAAAAGAUGCUUGACGCAAAGAUGCGUGACGCAUCCUCGUAUCCCCUUUGCCUUGUCAGUUUUUAAUCUUCGUAUAUUCGAACAAGCAAAGUAACCAAAUCAUCAUGGCACGUGCCAAAUAUUUCCGACAGCGGUAUCUAACCACCCGCUUUUUUCACCCCGGUUAAACGUAAUACUUUGAACAUGGUUCGGUGACUCGACAAGCUAUACACGUACUUAAUCGUUCAAAGCAUAUCAGUAUUCUUAAAAAAAAAAGGGAAAAUCGAAUUUUCGGAAAAGAAACGGCAGUUGUAUAUUUUCAAAGAAGAAAAGAAUGUGGAAGGGAAGAAAGAGAAAGAAGAGGGUAUCGAUGAAAUAAAAAAGAGCGUGAUCAUUUUUAAAGGAAACAAUCGCCAAUAUCGAUAGAGUAACGAGCGACGCGUGCCGUGUCACGUGUCCCCCGAUGCUCGCUCAAACAUUAUACACGACAUGGCGUGCGCAAAAUAAGUCUCACCUAAUUGCGACGGCUGUUCCAUUAGAGAUUAAACUUCAAACGAGACUCGGUCAGAUUCGUUCGGUUAAUUAAGACAGCUCUCCCAAGUAUAACACCGUCUUUGUAUUCCCUUCCUUUCGUUCGGAGAGAGAAAACCGAUGAUAUCGUAUAUCCAACGAUUACCGCCCUACCUUCUGCCUUCCCGAAAAUCAUCAAUACGGUACCAUUGUCGUUCGAUCGCGUUAUAAUCGAUCGAACAAAAUUUCCUCGUGGUUCGAGAAAUUGCACAAACAAACGUGCUUCUCUGACAAUGGGAAAGGACAAGGAUAGAAGGGACAAUAGGGAAAUCUGUUUAUUCGUUCAAUGAGGGUCAAAAAUCGUAGUAUCGAGGUUGUUUAACUACUUUUACUAACCUCGAUAUAUUACGUAAAUCCGAAAGAACCAUUCUUAAUCUGCUACUCUUCUUUUCACUAUGUCACGUAUUGCUCGAGUUUCAUUACGUCAAAUUCACUUGUCACAAAUAUUUAUAGAAUUGUGAUUUUCGUCACGCAUUGAUUCGUAAUAAAUCGAAAACAGAAAUAGAAUAGUGAUAACAAACGAUAUUUCUUUCAACGACAAGUCAGCGAAACAACGAUAAACUAUCUAUCAUACUUGUCGAUACGAAGAGGAAUAGAAAGUUUGAAUACCUGUGGAAAGGUAGAAGCGAACUUAUAUACACCUGUACUGGUAACGUAGAGGCGUACAAGGUCCAACUGUAUAGCGGACGCGUGGAUAAAGGAAAAAUGGAAAAAAAGGAAAAAGAGAAGCGUUGAUCUUUUGGAACAUGGAGUGUCCGUUCCGUGGGAAACGUCGCAAUUCGAUCCUCACACGCCUUGCUUCGCAUUGAUUUAGACGCUCAAAUAUCGAUUGACCAAUGCUAAAAUACCAGCUCAAAUUACAUAAACAAACCAAACGUACAUCUACAUUUUAUUCGAUCUUAUUUAUAAAUACUUUUUACAUUCUACGUACAGAGAUUCGAUGGAGAAAAAUGAUCACUUUAAUUAGGGUAUAAAAUGAGUCGCGUUAAAUGUAACGCGUCAUGUACAAUAAAGGUUCAAGGGACUAGAAGAGGCUUGUGCAGCGUAUCCGCGUCGUAUGGUAUAUUUCUCUUGUUUCCAGGUAAUAACAUUGGCACUGUUUUAACGCGAAGCUCAUAGGGAAAGAAA